CGAAAGCCUGAUCCAGCCAUGCCGCGUGAGUGAAGAAGGCCUUCGGGUUGUAAAGCUCUUUCAGCCGGAAAGAAAGCGCAUGGGUGAAUAACCUGUGUGGAUGACGGUACCGGAAGAAGAAGCACCGGCUAACUACGUGCCAGCAGCCGCGGUAAUACGUAGGGUGCGAGCGUUAAUCGGAAUUACUGGGCGUAAAGCGUGCGCAGGCGGUUUUGUAAGACAGAUGUGAAAUCCCCGGGCUUAACCUGGGAACUGCAUUUGUGACUGCAAGGCUAGAGUACGGCAGAGGGGGGUAGAAUUCCACGUGUAGCAGUGAAAUGCGUAGAUAUGUGGAGGAAUACCGAUGGCGAAGGCAGCCCCCCUGGGUCGAUACUGACGCUCAUGCACGAAAGCGUGGGGAGCAAACAGGAUUAGAUACCCUGGUAGUCCACGCCCUAAACGAUGUCAACUAGGUGUUGGGGGGGGAGACGUUCCUUAGUACCGCAGCUAACGCGUGAAGUUGACCGCCUGGGGAGUACGGUCGCAA
rnacentral:rRNA from 1 species